GUUAUUAGUGUAACAAUAAUUAUACACAUUAUUUUGCUGUGUAAUAUUGCUGCCUAAACAUUACAGUUAGAUUAAAUAAGAUAAUUUAUAAAAUCCCAACAACUAAUGAACAUGGGUGGUCAUUUUCCCAAAGCCACGCACACGUCAUAAUUUAAUUAUACUGAUGAAAACGACACUGGCAAAGAACAGGGUGAUGAGAGAAUAUAGUGGCCGCCUAUCCUAGCCCGUACGGUCUGAAGAAAGCUUUCCUGAGAAAGUGACUUUUAGAAUAAAACUUAAAGAAUGAAUAAAAGUUGGCCAGGGGAAGGGGAAGUAAAGAUGAAGAACAGAAUGUGGCCCAGGCAGAGAGAACAGGACAAACAAAGGCCCUGGGGCCUUUGAAACUAGUCCCAGUGGAUUUGUGAACUCUUUCAGAGAUGCUCCAUGCUGGUCCCCUUAUACUUUUCAAAGAAAGAAAGUUCAAGAUGCUUCCAACUUCCCACGUUUAUAUGCUAUCAGCUUAUUCCCAGCUCCCCCUGCUUUCCCCAUCUCCCCUACUCUCAGCUCUCUGGCCAUGACACUCAGUCAUAGCCCGCAUGGCGUAGUGGCGUCCUCUGACCCUGGGCAGCAGAGCGUUGGUAGAAGUCCUAUGUGUCUAGACAAAAGAUUGGUUAGUCUUUUCGAAAGCGAGUGUUCCAGGUCUGACUCAACCUGACUGAGAGCCAAGAAAGAGAUGAUAAGGCUGAUGGAAAAGAUCUCCUUAAUGAAUGGCAAUAAAAAACAGCCCAAAGGUGAAGGCAUGCAAUGGCCUUGGCGUUUCCUGCGGCUGCGGCCCCAGACAGGCUCUUGAAAGCGCUCAAGGAUAAGAGUAUCCAGGAGGGCAACUCAGAUCCUUAAAGGAGCUCCUGAUUUUCACCCACGGGCUGGGAAUUCGAUGCACGCCCCGAAGAUUCUAAAAGGGAUUAGACCAGAACUUGGGCUCAAGUUCUUGUCUAGGGCAGGUGGAGUGCCGUCCCUCCAUCGUUGCCCUGCAAUGAUGUACUGUGGAAUCUUCCACAGUUACCACUAGACAUGUGGACACUGCAGAGGUCUGUGGGCUACUAGCCUAUUUGCAACACUGCCCACACCUUAUGUCCUUCUCUGGGUCUCCAGAUUCCUGAGACAGAAAGAAUUUUUUGCUCCAUAAAAACAGGCGGCUGAGCUACAUGAAAAAGCACUGGACCUGGGCUCAGGAAAUCGGCUUAGAGUCUCCUUGCUGCCACUUGUCAUUUGGAUGGAUGUAAUUUCUCUGAGACUCAAAUUUCUCACAGGCGAAAUGGUGAUAAUUCUACUUUGGCUCUGAGGAGCGAAGGAUAUCGUUGAAAGCCCGUGCACAUCUGUCUUGCACUGCACCUCUG
rnacentral:lncRNA from 1 species